GACGAACGCUGGCGGCGUGCCUAAUACAUGCAAGUAGAACGCUGAAGAGAGGAGCUUGCUCUUCUUGGAUGAGUUGCGAACGGGUGAGUAACGCGUAGGUAACCUGCCUUGUAGCGGGGGAUAACUAUUGGAAACGAUAGCUAAUACCGCAUAACAAUGGAUGACACAUGUCAUUUAUUUGAAAGGGGCAAUUGCUCCACUACAAGAUGGACCUGCGUUGUAUUAGCUAGUAGGUGAGGUAACGGCUCACCUAGGCGACGAUACAUAGCCGACCUGAGAGGGUGAUCGGCCACACUGGGACUGAGACACGGCCCAGACUCCUACGGGAGGCAGCAGUAGGGAAUCUUCGGCAAUGGGGGCAACCCUGACCGAGCAACGCCGCGUGAGUGAAGAAGGUUUUCGGAUCGUAAAGCUCUGUUGUAAGUCAAGAACGAGUGUGAGAGUGGAAAAUUCACACUGUGACGGUAGCUUACCAGAAAGGGACGGCUAACUACGUGCCAGCAGCCGCGGUAAUACGUAGGCCCCGAGCGUUGUCCGGAUUUAUUGGGCGUAAGGCGAGCGCAGGCGGUUUGAUAAGUCUGAAGUUAAAGGCUGUGGCUCAACCAUAGUUCGCUUUGGAAACUGUCAAACUUGAGUGCAGAAGGGGAGAGUGGAAUUCCAUGUGUAGCGGUGAAAUGCGUAGAUAUAUGGAGGAACACCGGUGGCGAAAGCGGCUCUCUGGUCUGUAACUGACGCUGAGGCUCGAAAGCGUGGGGAGCGAACAGGAUUAGAUACCCUGGUAGUCCACGCCGUAAACGAUGAGUGCUAGGUGUUGGAUCCUUUCCGGGAUUCAGUGCCGCAGCUAACGCAUUAAGCACUCCGCCUGGGGAGUACGACCGCAAGGUUGAAACUCAAAGGAAUUGACGGGGGCCCGCACAAGCGGUGGAGCAUGUGGUUUAAUUCGAAGCAACGCGAAGAACCUUACCAGGUCUUGACAUCCCGAUGCUAUUUCUAGAGAUAGAAAGUUACUUCGGUACAUCGGUGACAGGUGGUGCAUGGUUGUCGUCAGCUCGUGUCGUGAGAUGUUGGGUUAAGUCCCGCAACGAGCGCAACCCCUAUUGUUAGUUGCCAUCAUUCAGUUGGGCACUCUAGCGAGACUGCCGGUAAUAAACCGGAGGAAGGUGGGGAUGACGUCAAAUCAUCAUGCCCCUUAUGACCUGGGCUACACACGUGCUACAAUGGUUGGUACAACGAGUUGCGAGUCGGUGACGGCAAGCUAAUCUCUUAAAGCCAAUCUCAGUUCGGAUUGUAGGCUGCAACUCGCCUACAUGAAGUCGGAAUCGCUAGUAAUCGCGGAUCAGCACGCCGCGGUGAAUACGUUCCCGGGCCU
rnacentral:rRNA from 1 species